rnacentral:rRNA from 1 species
UACAGAGGUCUCAAGCGUUGUUCGGAUUCAUUGGGCGUAAAGGGUGCGUAGGCGGCGCGGUAAGUCGGGUGUGAAAUCUUGGAGCUUAACUCCGAAACUGCAUUCGAUACUGCCGUGCUUGAGGACUGGAGAGGAGACUGGAAUUUACGGUGUAGCGGUGAAAUGCGUAGAUAUCGUAAGGAAGACCAGUGACGAAGGCGGGUCUCUGGACAGUUCCUGACGCUGAGGCACGAAGGUCAGGGGAGCAAACGGG